AAGUCGUAACAAGGUAACCGUAGGUGAACCUGCGGAAGGAUCAUUACAACGUAUCCACGUAUAAACCUUUGUGAACCUGUUUAACCUGCAUAAUGCAGAAUCGCAAAGCGUCAACGAUUCGGAAUCAGAGCUGACGCCCGCCUAUCCUAGCGAUAGGGGAUUCUUCGUUGUGUUUUUCCGUUACACAUUAACCACUGUAACUUUCUAUGUACUAACGGUUCUAGGCGAAAGCCUUUAAUCGAUAAUAUAAGAAAUUAUAGCACAACUCUUAGCAACGGAUAUCUAGGCUCUC
rnacentral:misc_RNA from 1 species